CACGCAUAUCCUCUAUUGUCCUGGAGCCAUCACCUCAACUCAAUUUAAUAGUUGGACCAAACGAUCACAUAAAGACGGCGCUGGGAAAGGGGGUGAGGCUAAAUAAAAACUACACCCUAAUUUCAACCCUAAUAACAAAACUAAAACUAGGUACUGGUAAAUCAAGUCUUGUUUGUGCCAUAUGUCUUGUUCUUUGUGGCAAUACCUCUACCCUUGGACGAGCAAAAGAUGGGAGUGUUCCACUCAAGUGUCAUGUGACAAUUACCUCACCUCGUUUUAUUUUGUAGUUGAAGGAUUUUGUGAAGAGUGGCCCAGCAAAGGAAGGGUAUGUUGAGAUUACAAUGUAAGAAUAAUUAUUAUGAAUAUUAAGGGGGAUAAAGUGUAUAUAC